UACGUAGGGGGCAAGCGUUGUCCGGAUUUACUGGGCGUAAAGAGCGCGUAGGCGGAGAUCUAAGCGUGGCCUGAAAGCCCCCGGCUCAACCGGGGAGUGCGGCUGCGAACUGGGUUUCUUGAGGACGAUAGAGGAGAGUGGAAUUCCUGGUGUAGCGGUGAAAUGCGUAGAUAUCAGGAAGAACACCAACGGCGAAGGCAGCUCGCUGGGACGGUACUGACGCUGAGACGCGAAAGCGUGGGGAGCGAACAGG
rnacentral:rRNA from 1 species